GGGAAAGUGGCUCAGUGGUAGAGUGUUUGCCUCAUGUGCAUGAGACCCUGGGUUCAAUUUCUCAGUACCA
rfam:Dipodomys ordii contig_34701, whole genome shotgun sequence.